rnacentral:rRNA from 1 species
UACGUAGGGUGCAAGCGUUAAUCGGAAUUACUGGGCGUGAAGCGUGCGCAGGCGGUUAUGCAAGACAGAGGUGAAAUCCCCGGGCUCAACCUGGGAACUGCAUCUGUGACUGCAUAGCUAGAGUACGGUAGAGGGGGAUGGAAUUCCGCGUGUAGCAGUGAAAUGCGUAGAUAUGCGGAGGAACACCGAUGGCGAAGGCAAUCCCCUGGACCUGUACUGACGCUCAUGCACGAAAGCGUGGGGAGCAAACAGG